UUAUUAGAUUAUAAUAAGACUACGUUUGUUACUUUAAUGUUUGUAUAAAAUGGGCAGGCUGCUCUAAUAACUUUCGUUUUCAAGACAGCCUUACAGUUCACAGGUGUUAUGGAUAUGAUUUGAUGCUAGGGACUCCGAAGAGGUCCGCUAACGUAUUCAAUUCACUAAUGAUCCUUCCGCAGGUUCACCUACGGAAA
rnacentral:misc_RNA from 1 species